rnacentral:tRNA from 1 species
GCGACCGUGGCGGAACCGGUAGACGCGCAGCGUUGAGGUCGCUGUGCCUUUAAUUAGGCGUGGAAGUUCAAGUCUUCUCGGUCGCACCA